rnacentral:rRNA from 1 species
AUUGAACGCUGGCGGCAGGCCUAACACAUGCAAGUCGAACGAGUGGCGGACGGGUGAGUAAUGUCUGGGAAACUGCCCGAUGGAGGGGGAUAACUACUGGAAACGGUAGCUAAUACCGCAUACCAUCAGAUGUGCCCAGAUGGGAUUGGCUAGUUGGUGGGGUAACGGCUCACCAAGGCGACGAUCCCUAGCUGGUUUGAGAGGAUGACCAGCCACACUGGAACUGAGACACGGCCCAGACUCCUACGGGAGGCAGCAGUGGGGAAUUUUGCACAAUGGGCGAAAGCCUGAUGCAGCCAUGCCGCGUGUAUGAUGAAGGCCUUCGGGUUGUAAAGUACUUUCAGCAGGGAGGCGGUACCUGCAGAAUAAGCACCGGCUAACUCCGUGCCAGCAGCCGCGGUAAUAC